rnacentral:rRNA from 1 species
UACGUAGGGGGCUAGCGUUGUCCGGAUUUAUUGGGCGUAAAGAGCGUGUAGGCGGCCAUGUAGGUCCGGUGUGAAAACUCGAGGCUUAACCUCGAGAUGUCAUCGGAAACCAUUUGGCUAGAGUCCGGAAGAGGAGAGUGGAAUUCCUGGUGUAGCGGUGAAAUGCGCAGAUAUCAGGAAGAACACCAAUGGCGAAAGCAGCUCUCUGGGACGGUACUGACGCUGAGACGCGAAAGCGUGGGGAGCGAACAGGAUUAGAUACCCUGGUAGUCCACGCCGUAAACGAUGGGCGCUAGGUGUGGGCGGUGUCGACUCCGUCCGUGCCGAAGCUAACGCAUUAAGCGCCCCGCCUGGGGAGUACGGCCGCAAGGCUAAA